rnacentral:lncRNA from 1 species
UGGUUGGUCUGUUACAGUUCAUCCUUUUGUAAUGUUGGAAUAGGUGAUGUUCAAAUCAAUGUUGAGACAUCAUGCUGAUAACUGAGCAGGAUUAAUAAACAUAAGUGCCAUGUUUGAUCUCUAUUGUGUCUUUGUUCUAGAUGGACAAAACUGGAUGUUCUUCUAUCCAUGGUGGUAGAGUAGCAGAUGUCCUGACAUCUGGGACUGUGUGCAUAUGAGUACUGGGUUUUAAUUUUUCUAACUGUCUUGCUGUAUAAG